GAUGAACGCUGACGGCGUGCCUAAUACAUGCAAGUAGAACGCUGAAGGAGGAGCUUGCUCUUCUGGAUGAGUUGCGAACGGGUGAGUAACGCGUAGGUAACCUGCCUGGUAGCGGGGGAUAACUAUUGGAAACGAUAGCUAAUACCGCAUGACAACAGUUAUUGCAUGAUAACUGUUUAAAAGGGGCAACUGCUCCACUACCAGAUGGACCUGCGUUGUAUUAGCUAGUUGGUGAGGUAACGGCUCACCAAGGCGACGAUACAUAGCCGACCUGGGAGGGGGGUUCGCCACACUUGGACUGGGACACGGCCCAGACUCCUACGGGAGGCAGCAGUAGGGAAUCUUCGGCAAUGGACGGAAGUCUGACCGGGCAACGCCGCGUGAGUGAAGGAGGGUUUCGGAUCGUAAAGCUCUGUUGUAAGGGAAGAACGAGUGUGGGAGUGGAAAGUUCACACUGUGACGGUAUCUUACCAGAAAGGGACGGCUAACUACGUG
rnacentral:rRNA from 1 species